GCAGGGCCAGGCAUGCCAUGGGACGUCCCUGGUGUUGAGAUCGCAGGUUCCGCAGCUGCAAGGACGAAAAACAGACAGUCAAAGAGAACACCAAGCCUUGUGUGGAGAUCCCAUAUGGCAGUCAGAACUGUCGAAGUAUUAUGUGAAAAAGCUGGAAGAUGAAACAAGUUCACUGCUUCAUCACCUACCAGGUGCCAACAUAAUAAAAUUCGGUCACAGCAAACUGUA
rnacentral:lncRNA from 1 species